GGUUGACCUCGGAUCAGGUAGGGAUACCCGCUGAACUUAAGCAUAUCAUAAGCCGGAGGA
rnacentral:rRNA from 1 species